UACAGAGGUCCCAAGCGUUGUUCGGAUUCAUUGGGCGUAAAGGGUGCGUAGGCGGCGCUGUAAGUUGGGUGUGAAAUUUCGGAGCUUAACUCUGAAACUGCAUUCGAUACUGCCGUGCUUGAGGACUGGAGAGGAGACUGGAAUUUACGGUGUAGCGGUGAAGUGCGUAGAUAUCGUAAGGAAGACCAGUGGCGAAGGCGGGUCUCUGGACAGUUCCUGACGCUGAGGCACGAAGGUCAGGGGAGCAAACGGG
rnacentral:rRNA from 1 species